rnacentral:rRNA from 1 species
CAAAGAGGGGGACCUUCGGGCCUCUCGCGUCAGGAUAUGCCUAGGUGGGAUUAGCUAGUUGGUGAGGUAAGGGCUCACCAAGGCGACGAUCCCUAGCUGGUCUGAGAGGAUGAUCAGCCACACUGGAACUGAGACACGGUCCAGACUCCUACGGGAGGCAGCAGUGGGGAAUAUUGCACAAUGGGCGCAAGCCUGAUGCAGCCAUGCCGCGUGUGUGAAGAAGGCCUUCGGGUUGUAAAGCACUUUCAGUCGUGAGGAAGGUGGUAGUGUUAAUAGCACUAUCAUUUGACGUUAGCGACAGAAGAAGCACCGGCUAACUCCGUGCCAG